UAAGAGUGGUUAUUCACUGGGCUUGGAUUGGAGACCGGCCAGCUUUUCUGGGAACUUUGAUUUUUCAUGGCAUAGGCUGAGUUUAAGGGAGGGGAGGGGUACUUCCUCUCUUCUUGCCUACUCCGUACCCUGCCUCAAGUCUAGCAGAGAAGAGAAAACGAAGCAAGUGGGGAAGAGGAGAGAAGAAUGCAAUGGGUGAGGGAAUAGUUACAAAGAGAUUCCCAGGAUUUUGAACAAGUGAAAUAAAAGGAGCAAUCAACAUACAUAUUUUGUCUCAUUUCAAACAAGGGGCUGUGCAUUGCCAAGGACAGCUAUCUGGCAAAUCUUUAUCUUAACCCCUGAGAAAUGAAGGAGAGCAACAGAAGAGCCAGCUUUGGAUCUGCUGGCUGACUGAUGUUUAGGGGAGUGCAGCAAUUUUCACAGGGGAGAUGAUACUUGGCCUAGGUGUUAUUUUUCUUUUUGAAUUUUUAUUGGAAAUGUAGAAGGAGGAAGAAGGUGGAGGGGGGAGUGAGAGGGAGAACACUCCCAUCCACUGGUUCAUUCCCCAAAUGCCUGUCACAGCCUGUACUGGGCUAGGCUGAAGCAAGCAGCCCAGAAUUCAAUCUGGGUCUUCCAUAUUGGUGGCAGGGAUCCAACUACUGAGCCACCACCCUGCUGCCUCUCAUUGUCUGCUUUAUCAGGAAGCUGGAAUCAGAAGCAGAACCAGGAUUGAAACCUGGACACUCUAAUAUGGGGUAUAGGAUUCUAAGUAGCCUGUUAACUGUGGCACUAAAUGCCUAACCCAGGUGGUCAUAAAAUAAAAGUGGAAAUUCUGCAAUGGACAAGAGAGGGUAAAAUAUUCUAGACUGAGAAACAAGUUAAAAUAGGGCUCAUGUGUUUAGGAGAUGGUUGAUCAGACUAACCACAAUGUGGUGAUGGAAAGACGUUGGGGAGAAAUUGUCAGAAAAGGACAUGGCUGGAAUGUGAGGAACCUACCAGAUCAGGAGGCCUGAACUUGAGCUUCCAAGUCUGUGGUCUGCUAUGUUUAUACUUCCCUGGCUGUUACAUAUUUUGAGUUUUUGUUCUAAAUAUAUUUCUUUUCCAUAAAUAUCUACAUGUCUCACUACAUUAACAAUAUAUUGUAUAAAUAAAACAUUUUAAAACAUACAGAUGUUUUUCUGAAAAAUCAAAUAAAUGUUACAAUGUUUUUUUAUUUUCAUUAUUAAUGGUUCAAAAUACUUUUCAAAUGCCUUACGACAAUGAAGAUUUUUAGUGAGAGUAUUGUUCCUGAAUGUGCUUAAUCAUAUUUGAAGGUCUUGUCUUAACACUUAGUGAUACAACCGUUUGAUGAUAUCAUUCAAGAUUAGUUUUCUUUAAUACAUGUUUCAAUGGUGUCACAACUGCAAAAUGGUCACUCACAAAGAGAUAUGGAUUCAAGUGGAAGAGAUACAUUGUUGGUUUCAUCUAGAAAUUAUGAUAAUUAUUUUUCAAAGCUACCUAGAAAUUAUGCAAGAGUUUUUGUCUUAAUUCAUCUGGUAUGUUUAUAUAUUCCCUGUUGUCAAUUGCUUGUCAAUAUGCAAAUAAGUUUGAAGGUGCUUUGUUCUCAUAUUAUAUACAGUGUGUUCACAAGCCAGGGAUAACUACUCACCUGGAAAUUUUUAAAAAGGUUGGGAAAUUGCAAAUUUAAAUAUCUGUAUGUGGCAUUUCUUGAAGAUGACGAGUAUCAUUUCCACCAACAAAAUCAUGUAACAAUAAAAAUACUUAUUUGUGAAAUGCUCUCUUGAAAGCACAGGUUUCUUCUGUAAAAGAGGUUAUUUCUUCCCUCUCUUUCUCACACUGUCACCUUUACCUAGAAGAAACCGAUUUUGUGCUUAUUUUUUGAAAAUAAAUAC